AACGAUGAUUAAUACCAGAUACUCCCUACGGGGGAAAGAUUUAUCGCUAAGAGAUCAGCCUAUGUCCUAUCAGCUUGUUGGUAAGGUAAUGGCUUACCAAGGCUAUGACGGGUAUCCGGCCUGAGAGGGUGAACGGACACACUGGAACUGAGACACGGUCCAGACUCCUACGGGAGGCAGCAGUAGGGAAUAUUGCUCAAUGGGGGAAACCCUGAAGCAGCAACGCCGCGUGGAGGAUGAAGGUUUUAGGAUUGUAAACUCCUUUUGUUAGAGAAGAUAAUGACGGUAUCUAACGAAUAAGCACCGGCUAACUCCGUGCCAGCAGCCGCGGUAAUACGGAGGGUGCAAGCGUUACUCGGAAUCACUGGGCGUAA
rnacentral:rRNA from 1 species